rnacentral:rRNA from 1 species
UACGUAGGUGGCAAGCGUUGUCCGGAAUUAUUGGGCGUAAAGCGCGCGCAGGUGGUUUCUUAAGUCUGAUGUGAAAGCCCAGGGCUCAACCGUGGAGGGUCAUUGGAAACUGGGGAACUUGAGUGCAGAAGAGGAAAGUGGAAUUCCAAGUGUAGCGGUGAAAUGCGUAGAGAUUUGGAGGAACACCAGUGGCGAAGGCGACUUUCUGGUCUGUAACUGACACUGAGGCGCGAAAGCGUGGGGAGCGAACAGG